UAAAAAAAGGUAAGCUACUAAGAGCGAAUGGUGGAUGCCUUGACUGGUAAAGGCGAUGAAGGACGUACUAGACUGCGAUAAGCUACGGGGAGCUGUCAAGAAGCUUUGAUCCGUAGAUUUCCGAAUGGGACAACCCAAUGUAUAGAGAUAUACAUUACCUAUAUAGGAGCGAACGAGGGGAAUUGAAACAUCUUAGUACCCUCAGGAAAAGAAAUCAAUAGAGAUUGC
rnacentral:rRNA from 1 species